rnacentral:rRNA from 1 species
UUUCAAAUCAGUGAAAUUAAUCUCCCCGUGAAGAAGCGGGGAUACUCAUAUAAGACGAGAAGACCCCAUGGAGCUUCAAACCCAACUACACCCCUAGCUCUUAUAGCCCCACAACCCCCCCCCCC